rnacentral:misc_RNA from 1 species
GCUUGGAGGAAUUGUUACACAUGCUCUGGGGAAAGCUACAGCCUUUAGUCCUAGAAAAGACUCCGACAAUGGGACUAAAGGCUGUAGAGGCGAGUACUAUUUGAGUUGAGGUCAGCCAGUUUCCUUACAGCGAGUGUAGGCGUAGUUGAUAGGGCAAGGCCUUCGUACCUUUCCUUUCAAGACAUCCAGUUGGGGUUACAUACGAGCGAGCACCUUUUGUAGGGAGGAGCCCUGUUACGGG